rnacentral:lncRNA from 1 species
CCAGUAGUGCGUUUCAGUUCCCCGUAAAAAAUUCAGAGAAAAUUAAGGACAGCUUGUAGGCGUACUGUAGAGCCGUAUUCAGACCCCGAAACAAGUAAGGACCCCUCACCAUAUUUCUUAUCACGGUAUUAAAGCUAAAUAAAUAAUUAAACUGUACUGUGUGACUUUAUAAAUGUAUAAUUGAUUAAGGUUGCCAAUAGAGCCCGAGUCUGAUACAGUGUUGGACUGUUAUUGUUUGAUUU